rnacentral:rRNA from 1 species
CACGUAGGCGCAAGCGUUGUCCGGAAUUAUUGGGCGUAAAGAGCUCGUAGGCGGUCUGUUGCGUCCGCUGUGAAAACUCGGGGCUUAACCCCGAGCCUGCAGUGGAUACGGGCAGACUAGAGGUAGGUAGGGGAGAAUGGAAUUCCCGGUGUAGCGGUGAAAUGCGCAGAUAUCGGGAGGAACACCGGUGGCGAAGGCGGUUCUCUGGGCCUUACCUGACGCU